GUAAAAAAGGAGGACGUGAGAUGGAGGCAAUUCCUGUUUACACAUACAGCACGUAACAUGCAAAGCUGAAAGGAAUUUUCUGAAAGAGGAACAGCAUGAAUAGACACAUUCUACUAGUGUAACCUUGAGAGACUUUUGAUUUUCUUGUUAAAGGGCCAAAUGCAGAUUAUUAAAAAAAAAAAGAAGAAAAAAAAAAGAGUUAACGUAUUUUUUCGAAAACAUUCAUUUUUAUUUUUUCAAAUGAAGGGGUAUUUACAAAAAAAUGGUCAAUGGCAAAGGCUAAUGUAAUUUACAAUCCUAAAUACAAAAAAAUAUAUAUCAUUGGAAAAAAAAUAAACCACAUCUUGAAAAUGCUUUCAUAUCCGACACACCAGUCCGUGAAAAACUAAAAUGCUGAGCUCACUCCCGGGAUGAGGCUUCGGCAGCGACCCCAAUCCUGGUUCAUGAAAAAGGAAUGACGCACAGCCUUAUGGUCAGUGCUUGUACCUGGAUGUUCAGUGCUAUUAAAAAAAACAAAAAAGUUUUUUUUUUAGUGGCUCCGGUAAUAUUGCAAACAAAGCCUUGGGAAUGUCUUUUUGUUCCUAAUUGCUGUAAUUGUCUUCUCUCAUAAUCUCAACAUUGCAAGCUUUGUUAUCAUGGUCAAUUUUGACAUCAAUUUGUACUCAUUAUUAUAAAGACGUGACGACGUUGCCAUUUUCUACGAUCAAUAAACACAAGGCGAUUUCUGCCUGAAAUGGCUUUGUGUCAAAAGGUCAUCGUGCUGGUACAUAACUGCUGACAACCACAGGUGCUCCCUCACUCUCUAUAUGAGAUAUCAUAGUGCUAUUACAUGGCACCUCUCUAUGGUUGUCAAUCCGUUCCUAAUAAUGUGUACUUUUUGUAUGUCAAAUAUGAGCAUUUACAUUUACUUACGGACGAUUGUUUCCUUCUUACAACCGAACGUUAUUCUUCAAUGAUUAUGAGAAGACGAGAUGUGUUACGUCAGGCUCACAAAAUGAAGUCAUCACAAGAAAACAAAAGGAUUCUUGUGUCCAUAUGAUGAAAUAAUUUGUCUAUUCCACGAAAAGAAGAAAAUAAAACCGCCGGAGAGCAAAACCAGUGCAUACCACUGCCAACAAUGCACAAUAUUUUUAUAAUUAACUAUUAUACAAUUCAAUUCUGCAUCAGGACCAACAAAUAUACUGUGAUAAUCGUUAAAUAUGGUAUAUAUGCACCACAUUUCUUCAAGCGUGGAAAUUGGCACAUGUGUCUGCGCUAAAUCCAAAUCCAUGGUCUGCCACUUCACUAAAUUCAACUCAUGUCUAAACUCUAAACUAACAAAAUGAGGACAUGAAACAUAGCCUCAAGUUAACACCCAUGGCUUCUACAGAUCCUUGUUGGGGGAGAGCGGGGGGGGGGGUCCCUGCCUGAAUAUGAAAGCAAAUGAGCAGUCCAAGACAAGUGCAAAUCCUCCCUGAGACUGGUCCAUGAACUUACACAGACAUCAGAUUCAGCAUUAUACGCCCCAUGUACUCUACUAAGAGACUUAAUGAGUCACACUGACCGGCCUAAAAAUUGUGUUUGGUGCAAUUACUGCCGCUCCAGUAGCACUGUUUUCAUACAACAUUUAAAACAAAACCCAGAGGGAGUCGUCGUCGUCAUCAUCAUCAUCGUCGAUUGGCCACAAUAAGGCUCAGAGAGCAGCGCCGCAUUGGUCAGAAAUCCAGCGGAUCACAAAAAUGUUUUGAGUUGAUCACACAAGUAUUAUUGCUGAAAGGAUGAUGCUUUUGAUUUAUUUGAAUGAAGAACCUCCCCCCCCCCACCCCUCUCCAGAUACCUGACCAGGUGCUGGUCUCCAUCCACAGAUCUGUGGACAUCACAGUAACUGGAGAUGGGUGGGAGGAGCCGAGGGAAGUGAAUCGGCAUGUGGUGCUCCGGCCUGCCUCGGGGACUCAAGGAGAGACAUCAGGUCGUCAUGUGUCUCUGAGCUGACAUCGGCUCUGCAGGCUCUGGAAGUGGGCAUGCUUCAGGAUGCGGUUGAUCUGCUGAUAGGACACCAGGCUCGGAGGGCCGGCCAGCUCCGAGGGGUCGCCGUAGUUGAGGGGACUGCAGGGGCCGGCGGCACACUGACUGCCACAGCUGCCAGCCGGAUGCCCUGGACUGCUGCUGCUCUCGCUGAUCGAGGACU
ensembl:lncRNA